GUCCUGGAGGAGCCCAAGUCAAAGAUGAGAAAACUCAGGUUCAUCAAGGCCUCUCACUGCUGUGGGCUCUCCCGCUGUGGAGCACAGGUUCCGGACGUGCAGUCUCAGCGGCCAUGGCUCACGUGCCCAGCCGCUCUGCGGCACGUGGGAU